CAUCCCGCCAUGACUUUUUCCCAGGUAUUCAGUUGAGAAGUGAUUGAGUCCUAACCAAUCUCAGAUAGGCUGGGUUUUCUAAUUUUCUCUUUCACUGAAAGUGUAUGCUGACCCUGUGAGUGUUGAGGGAUUGCAGGUAACCAGGUAUUUAUCACUGUAUUUCCCACCGCCAUUGCUGCCCCUAGGUUUUGUGGAGAUGUCCAGUUGUGAAAUGGUAGUUUUCUACUGUCAGGGUCAACCUAGGAUUACUGCAAGUAUCCAGGUCUAGUGGUGUGUCCCAUAAAGCUGGAAGAACUCAAGGUUCUUUGGUGGAGUCCUGGUCGAAAACCCCGUGUCCUUCUACAUAUAUAUUUUCGUGCCUAUUUCAGCCCCCUACCAUGACAUCACAAUGAGUAUGAUACAGGUCUGGAGGUCAGCACUGAUGAGGGCUGAAAGCAACACAUGGGCCACGUGAGGUUCAGCUGUCUAGGAAAGUGAUGAUGGUGUCCAUCCUUCCUGUUGUUCCCAAGAUUUCGCUUCAGUUGUCCUAGGAAAAAAUGGUGUCCUGUAGAGAGAAAUGCUGUCUUCUGGGAUCAUGGCCCUGAGCUUGGGGACACCGUCAGCAUACAGGUUCCCGGGAGGAAAUCCUAACUAACCAGAGACACGAUCAGGGGACAUGUCUGCUAUCUGGUACAGGAGAGAACGUAUGAGGUAUGUACCCUGUGAGUGCUGAUUGAUUGACAUGUGCCAGGGAACUCACGUGGCACUGUGCAUCACAGGAGUAACUGCGGUGGAUUUGCAGAGAAGCGGGCCAGAGAAAAUGGCAUGUCCUACAAUGGCCUAGACCUUGGAGGGCUUGCAAACAUCCAGGUACAAUUUUGGCUCCCACAAUGAUGAUCGUGAGCAGGCGGUUUUCAGGGUCCUAGUGGAAAUGCUGUGUCCAUAGACACAUUGGUCACAUAUGUGGUUUUAGGUUCCCUUGGAAAGGUCACAGGAAACCUCUUUGAGCAGAGGACUGUGCCUGUAUUUAGGUGGGUGACGGCUUGGGCCUAAGCAGGCCACGGACUAUCCAAUCUUCCCAUACACCGAUCAGUGCAGAUGACUUUCCGGCUCUUGUCCCUGUCCUGCCAUGGGUUCCUCGGCUCAUUUUCUAUUCUUUAUUUUCUGCAAUUAUUCAGUUAAGAAAUGAUGCUUUGCCAACCAAGACUGGUAAGCAUUAGUCCUUGCUGUGUUCAACUUUAGGAAAUGUGCCUUGAACCUGAGUCCAUGUUGACUGAGGAAGAUGUGGGCGUCCAGGUAAAUUAUCCUACUCUACCAGAUCACGGGAUGAAAUGAUAGUUCUGACACAUCCUCAGUCUGGAGUCAGUAAUGGUGUGGGGUGGAAGUUGGAGUUCUGCCAGGAUGUAGGUAAGGUCGAUGGUUCCUAGAUGACGGCAGUAACCAGGCUGUGUAGUGCGUGUCUUUUUCGUCUUUCAGGUACACCAAGUGGCAUCCCGUCAGAUGCAUUUCUUCUGCUGCUGCUAGUCAUGAAAUCAAGGCUGGCCUGAGAAUGACCAUUCAGGGGCCCUGGAUUGUAACCAGGUAAUUGAUCACAUGAGUCCUAUGCCAAUACAGACCACCUGAAACUUCAGAUUUCCUAGACAAAGAGGUCGCUCUCCUUGACACAGUGUUUUUCCCAUGGUUUCCUGCAGGGGUCCCGUAAAGUUCUCUUUCUGUAGAGAAGUAGAUGUUGUGACAUUAUCUCAUGAAAGACAUUCUGUGUUUCCUGCAUGUAGAUAAAAUUAAUGGUGGUUUUGAGUCUGGUAGAAUAACCUUGUGUUUGGCAUAUGUGUCACUGGGAAAAAAUAAUUAGUGAUUCCCAAUGCCAGUAAGCAUGAGAUUUUACUGUUUGCUUAUUCAGAGGUAAGGCUUUUUGUUUGUUUGUUUUUUGCAAAUUUCACACUCCACACAAUUGAUAGAUAUGCCAGUGCCCAGAUAGUUGAUCAUAUUAUCUGUCACCCCGAUGUGGACUGUGGUGUUUCUGCAGGUAUCCCUUGUAGGCUGUAGCCUCAGAGUUCUUCUGUUAUCCAGGUAACCUUGAUGAGUCGUGAAAUGAUGCCAGUGAACAAGAGUAUUUGUGAUUGUCCUUGUAGCACAGGUUGUAGAUCAACCACAAUAUGUCUUUCAGAUGUGUGUCAGGGCAUCACAGCAGGCCUUUCAGUCCUAGGUAAUGUAGGGCAUU